GUCAGUGACGGGCUCUGUCAGGGGUCAGGGGUGUGUAGCGGUGACCCUAGCGGGGCUGACACUGCCCGCCCGCGCGUUAAACCCCAAGCAACCAAGGUGUGUCGGUCUCAGCGGGACUCUCCGACUCGUUUGCUUCCCUGUGUUGACACCCUUACGGAUUCCUAACCUCUGACUCUCUUCCCUGUGCUGGGCAGGACCUUCCCUGCCGUCUUCUCGUCUCCGAUAAGAGGGAGAUUAAUAGGAGAAGAGGAAGCAGAAACUAUUAACACAAAUACCGCCUAAAACGGGGCAGAAACCCAGGCAAACUGAGUACUUCCCGGAAAUGGUUUGAGUCACCCCCUCUGAUCCCAUCUCUACCUGAAGGUUUGGGGAUGGGGUCGGUUUGGGGAACUAUCAGGACCAGCACAGGAGUCAAGAAUGUAGCUGUCACGCAGAUUCAUGUCCUGGCGGUCCCCACUGAGAAGAGUUUCUGGACGUAUAGAGCCGCCACGGUACAAAGGGAGACAUCCUUACGGUUUGGAGGUUUGCCUUCUGCAUGCAACUGUCUGUUACAGAAAGGAAGUUCCUGUUGGUUUUCAGAGCUUAUCUGAGGUGAAGGACUUCCCUGCAAGCUCGCGUGUCCCUGUGUGGUCGGAUUCCCUGGGGAAUACCGCUCUGCAAAGGUGAACAAUAUCCCAUUGUAUACAUGGACCACAUCUUCUUCAUCCAUGUAUCCAGAGAUGGACAGUUAACGUUGUUUUCAUAUCUUGGCUACUGAGAUGGUCAUUCCGACAGGUGUGAAGUGAUACCUCAUUGUGGUCUGGAUGUGCAUUUUGGUGAUAAAAAUAGUGACGGUCGCCUUAUGUAGCUGAUUGUUUCCAUCGCUGCGAAGAAACUGUACUUUAGUGUAGCCCCCAUCGACGUCUGCUUUUGCGGCCUCUGAGUUUGGUGCGCCGUGCUGCUGGCCCUGCAGUUCUGCUCAUGUUUCUGCUCUGCUGAUCUGUGAUUCUCUUGUUUGCCUAUCAGCCUCUCCAUUUGGUGGGGGCAAUAGGUUGCCCUGUUACUUGAGUUCUCUGAUUAAACUAAGGAAGUGAAUGGUUUUCAUUUUAUCUAGCUUUUUAAAAUUUUGUGGGAGGGCAUGAUCACUUCCAAGCCCCUUACGUGCUAGAGUAGAAACUGGAAGUUUCUUACCUUUAUGUUUUCAAAAUAUUGUUUCUGAAGUGAUAUAAUUAUUCACAUGAAAUACAUCCUGGGUCAUUCUGUGACAGGUUGAAUUUGUUCUCCUUGGUCCUUGUACCCACCCACAACAAAGAAUUGAAAGGCAAAGACACCGUAGCAAAGCCCAGGAAAGUUUUAUUUGAGUACACUGGACGGAGGAGUGGACCAGGGUCGGUGGAGACAAAGGCUUUGAUCUGUUAGGUGGGACACUUAUAUCUUGCAUUCUGGUUACGAGGCACUUCUUUGACUCGCGAGGUCUGGGGUCAUUUGAUUGACAGGUGCAUCUGUAUAGUCCUCCCUCUCAGGGAGCAUGCACCUCACCCAGCCAUCUCCUUUAGGGAAACCAAUUGUCCACGUAUUUGUUUUCCAGUAUUUCACUGUUGUUCUUUACACCAUUGUGGAUUAUUCUGUCCCUGAGUUUUCUUUAAUGUAGUGUUUCUGUUAUGCCUUCAAGUGGCUGAUUUUGUUGUCUUUUUCAAUGUCAAAUUGGCCAUUGAUCUUACCUAGAGUACUUUUCAACUCAGAAAUUGUGCUUUUCAUCUCUGAAAGUUCAAUUUCAGUUUUUUGAUAUCUGCCUUGUCUCUGCUUCUCUUUUGGAAUAGAUGGGACAUUGGUAUUUUCAUGUAUGCCUCUGUCUUAUUCUAAUAACCUCUCUUAGUUCUAGGUCAGUUUUGACCUAGCAAAUACCUUCAGUACGUGUCAUGUUUUCUGGAUGUGUGAGGAGAAUGGUUCUUCUUUAACAUUUUUUUCUUCGGUAUGGUUAUGUUAAUAUUCUAACACCAGUUACUAGACAUGAUUUUCCCACAUUGCUCUCUAUUUUAUAUUACAUUUUGUCUUGCCAGUGGGUUUCAGCCCCAGGCAAGUUCAUGAUAGGUUCAAUGAGACCAAGGAAUGACAGUGGAACGUUCUUGGGAUAAAAGGGUUUAUUACCAGGCUUGUUCUCCCGGUGAUAGGUUGUGCACUAGAACUACGUCUCCAUCUAACAGUCUGCAGGGUUGCAAUCCUCCUUGUGUCUGCCUGUGCCCACAGCACUGGGCAGAACUCUUUAUAUACUGACUCAGGCAAUAAUAGCUUAUGACCUAUGGGUUUGGACCCAUUAGCCUAGCAGUAGGUCCGCUACAUUACCUACCAAGUAGUUUAACUUCAGGUGAGGAUCCUGGCCAUAAGAACCCUAACUUUCCCCAUACAUUUCUCCAUACAUUUUGGUCUACUUCUGAAAUUUCUAUUCCAAUGAACCUGUCAGUCAAAUUCAUACAAAUACCACACUCUUUUAUUUAGAGAGGUUUUGUGAUAUAAUAUCUAGCAGAAGUAGUUUCCCUCAUGUUUUUUUUAAGGGUUUUCCUGAAUUUAUUUUUUGCUUAUGCAAUUAAAUCUCUACUCUCAGACAAAUAUCUGGUAUUAUAUAUAUUAGGUUUAUCUUUCUAUCCACAAAUAUUUCAUUUUUCCUUUUCUCCAAAUGUCAGUGUGUGUAUGUGUGUGCAUGUUUAUCAUGUGGUAUGCUUAAUAAUUUUGCACUUACACAGGCUCUAAAUAUUUCUUGUUACAUUUAUUUCUAUCAUUAUAUGUUUAACAAUUUCAGUCUCCCGUAAUAUAUUGUAACUG